rnacentral:rRNA from 1 species
AUACGUAUGUCCCGAGCGUUAUCCGGAUUUAUUGGGCGUAAAGCGAGCGCAGACGGUUGAUUAAGUCUGAUGUGAAAGCCCGGAGCUCAACUCCGGAAAGGCAUUGGAAACUGGUCAACUUGAGUGCAGUAGAGGUAAGUGGAACUCCAUGUGUAGCGGUGGAAUGCGUAGAUAUAUGGAAGAACACCAGCGGCGAAGGCGGCUUACUGGACUGUAACUGACGUUGAGGCUCGAAAGUGUGGGUAGCAAACAGGAUUAGAUACCCUGGUAGUCCACACCGUAAACGAUGAACACUAGGUGUUAGGAGGUUUCCGCCUCUUAGUGCCGAAGCUAACGCAUUAAGUGUUCCGCCUGGGGAGUACGACCGCAAGGUUGAA